UACGAAGGAGGGUAGCGUUGUGCGGAAUUACUGGGCGUAAAGGGCGCGUAGGCGGUUUUGUAAGUCAGAUUUGAAAGGCCCGGGCUCAACCCGGGAAUAACAUUUGAUAUUGCCUGGCUUGAGUGCGGGAGAGGAUGGCGGAAUUCCCAGUGUAGAGGUGAAAUUCGUAGAUAUUGGGAAGAACAGCGGUGGCGAAGGCGGCCAUCUGGGACGGUACUGACGCUGAGGCGCGAAAUCGUGGGGAGCAAACAGG
rnacentral:rRNA from 1 species